rnacentral:rRNA from 1 species
AUUUAUUGGCGGCUUUUUAAAUUUUUUAGAGGAAUUUAUUCUAUAAAGGAUAAAACACCAAAAUCUUACUUUAAAUUGUAUUUACAGUUUGUCUACCGCUAUUUAAUUAUGUGUAAAUUUAUUUUUUUCUCUAAGGUUAGUGGUGUUUUAGGUUAAGGUUCAGCUUAUUUUAAAGAUUGAAAUAAAUUAUAUAAAUUAUUAUUUAACUAUAGUUUUUUUUUAAUAAGGAAUUAAAGAAAAAUUUAAAAGUAAAAUUUUUAAGCGAAUUAUUCUUAUUUAGAUUUUAUUUAUUUGUGUACAUAUC